GCCGUAGAUUGGUGAUAAAACAUCUGUUUUGCAUACAGAAGGUCCUAGGUUCAAACCCUGGCAUCUCCA